CGGACGGGUGAGUAACGCGUGGGUAACCUGCCUUACACAGGGGGAUAACACUUAGAAAUAGGUGCUAAAACCGCAUAAGCGCACAGCUUCGCAUGAAGCGGUGUGAAAAACUCCGGUGGUGUAAGAUGGACCCGCGUCUGAUUAGCUUGUUGGCGGGGUAGCGGCCCACCAAGGCGACGAUCAGUAGCCGGCCUGAGAGGGCGGACGGCCACAUUGGGACUGAGACACGGCCCAGACUCCUACGGGAGGCAGCAG
rnacentral:rRNA from 1 species